rnacentral:rRNA from 1 species
UACGGAAGGCAGCAGUGGGGAAUAUUGCACAAUGGGCGAAAGCCUGAUGCAGCUAUGCCGCGUGUAUGAAGAAGGCCUUAGGGUUGUAAAGUACUUUCAUCGGGGAGGAAAAACAAAACUAAUAAUUUUAUUUCUUGACGUUACCCGAAAAAGAAGCACCGGCUAACUCCGUGCCAGCAGCCGCGGUAAUACGGAGGGUGCUAGCGUUAAUCAGAAUUACUGGGCGUAAAGAGCACGUAGGUGGUUUUUUUAAGCCAGAUGUGAAAUCCCUGGGCUUAACCUGGAACUGCAUUUUGAAACUGAAAUACUAGAGUAUCGUAGAGGGAGGUAGAAUUCUAGGUGUAGCGGUGAAAUGCGUAGAUAUCUGGAGGAAUACCUGUGGCGAAAGCGGCCUCCUAAACGAAUACUGACACUGAGGGUGCGAAAGCGUGGGGAGCAAACAGGGAUUAGAUACC